rnacentral:rRNA from 1 species
CGUAAUAACAGAAACUAACCAGGAUUCCCUUAGUAACGGCGAGUGAACUGGGAUACCAACAAUAUAUAUAUACGCUUCACUGCGUGUGUAUCUUUAGCCCGUCGGUACUAUCCUAGCGUAUGACUUAUACUGUCUCGGCAGUUGGUCACCAAAUACGCGGGAAUUGUAGCAUCGUAACACAUAUAUACACUAUAAGCAGCGCACACGUAUAUACACACACACACACAUAUACACGUAUACCGGCCUUGCAAACACACAGCGCUCUCGCGUUGGAAAGCAAGUUAUAUAUCUUCGGAUAUGCCAUAGAGUGUGACAGCCACGUUUGGAACACCCUUAUACCGGUACACACAUAUACACUCACUGCGCAUACUGCUUACGUAUAUAUAACCUGAGUCGAGUUAUUU